rnacentral:rRNA from 1 species
CCGGCGCACGGGUGCGUAACGCGUAUGCAACUUGCCCUUAUCAGGAGGAUAGCCCGGGGAAACUCGGAUUAAUACUCCAUAAGAUUUUGAUUGGCAUCGAUUAGAAUUGAAAGAUUUAUUGGAUAAGGAUAGGCAUGCGUCAGAUUAGUUAGUUGGUAGUGUAACGGACUACCAAGGCGAUGAUCUGUAGGGGGCCUGAGAGGGUGAACCCCCACACUGGUACUGAGACACGGACCAGACUCCUACGGGAGGCAGCAGUGAGGAAUAUUGGACAAUGGAGGGAACUCUGAUCCAGCCAUCCCGCGUGCAGGAAGACGGCCCUAUGGGUUGUAAACUGCUUUUGUAUGGGGAUAAAUCUACUUACGUGUAGGUAGUUGAAGGUACCAUACGAAUAAGCAUCGGCUAACUCCGUGCCAGCAGCCGCGGUAAUACGGAGGAUGCAAGCGUUAUCCGGAUUCAUUGGGUUUAAAGGGUCCGUAGGCGGGCUGAUAAGUCAGUGGUGAAAUUUUGUCGCUCAACGAUAAAACUGCCAUUGAUACUGUUAGUCUUGAGUGAUAUUGAAGUAGCUGGAAUGUGUAGUGUAGCGGUGAAAUGCAUAGAUAUUACACAGAACACCGAUUGCGAAGGCAGGUUACUAAGUAUUAACUGACGCUGAAGGACGAAAGCGUGGGGAGCGAACAGGAUUAGAUACCCUGGUAGUCCACGCAGUAAACGAUGAUAUUACGAGGC